rnacentral:rRNA from 1 species
AGAGUUUGAUCCUGGCUCAGGAUGAACGCUAGCGACAGGCUUAACACAUGCAAGUCGAGGGGCAGCGGGGGAGUAGCAAUACUCCCGCCGGCGACCGGCGCACGGGUGAGUAACACGUAUGAAACCUGCCCGUAGCAGGGGGAUAAGCGGAAGAAAUUCCGUCUAAUACCGCGUAACAACCCUUGGAGGCAUCUCCUCGGGUUUAAAGGGAGCGAUUCCGGCUACGGAUGGUCAUGCGUCGCAUUAGCUUGUUGGCGGGGUAACGGCCCACCAAGGCGACGAUGCGUAGGGGUUCUGAGAGGAAGGUCCCCCACACUGGUACUGAGACACGGACCAGACUCCUACGGGAGGCAGCAGUGAGGAAUAUUGGUCAAUGGCCGCAGGGCUGAACCAGCCAAGUCGCGUGAGGGAUGACGGUCCUAUGGAUUGUAAACCUCUUUUGUCAGGGAGCAAAGGGCGCCACGUGUGGCGUUUUGCGAGUACCUGAAGAAAAAGCAUCGGCUAACUCCGUGCCAGCAGCCGCGGUAAUACGGAGGAUGCGAGCGUUAUCCGGAUUUAUUGGGUUUAAAGGGUGCGCAGGCGGAAUGUCAAGUC